rnacentral:lncRNA from 1 species
UUUUGAAAGUUAUAUGCAUCCUUUAAUAGGAAGUUUCACAGUUACAAAAGAAACAUUGUUUUCUUUAUAUAAACAAAAUACCCUUACAGCCUUCAAAACAAAAUGUUUUGCCUUAUUCCCUAUGCUCAGCUAUCUAAAAUAUAGAAAUUGUCAUCUAGCUUCAGUCAAAAAGACAUGCUAGUUCCAUGCAGUAUAUAUUAAAUACAGAAAGAAAUUAAUUGUUAUUAUAUCUAGGCAAUUUUGUAUUUGAAAGGACAUAUACCUUUCAAGUAUGUCCACCCAGUACCAUCUAUUGCAUUUUUGCAAAACAUGUUAACAUCUUCACACACCACCAAUUAGAUGUGCCCCUCAAGUCCUGGCACAUGGAAAUAAUCCAUUUAAAAAGCACAAGAGAACAGACUUGAGACCACUCAAAGCACAUUCCCCAAAGUGUAGUGAAAGUGUAGUGUUUCAGCAUGGUAAGUAGCACACUAAAGCAAGCUGGGAAACAACACUUCCUAACUGGUAUAAACAGUCUGGACUGGGACUCCUGUUAAGGGCAGGAAUGCAAGUCAACAGUAGCACAUCUUUUCCAGUCUCUUCACAGCCAGAGGGAAGAGCAACAGUGACAAGCAUUGCCUAGAGAGACAAAAGUGCUUAGCAAUGCUCUCCUUAUCCCAGCCCAUUCUAUCUGAAACAACCAUCCAGGGCACAUGGAGACCAGGAGUUAGAACACUGGGAGAAAGUGAAGACUUAAACUGAUACAAUUUGAUGUCACACAGAUUUCGAGAACAAAUACAGAAGCAUGGCUAAGCCAGGUUUAUCUCAACUGAACAGUGGCAGCCAAUAAACACCUGCCCUUUUUCUAUCUGAUUGUUUUCAGUCAAGCAGAAAUUAAUCACUGAAAGCACUGUAUGUGCCUCAGUUAAUUCUCAUGGAAGUCUUCCAAAAAUUCAGUGUGUUAUUAGGCCUCUGCAGGAAGAGAAUUUUGCCCUGAUUAGUACCUUCUUUUCUAUUUCCUUGUUAAGCAAAGGAGCUUGGAAAAAAACCUAGGCAUUCACAGAUCUCAUUUCAGAAAUAUAAUUAAAGAUUCUGGUAGUAAAACAAUUGACAAGAUACAACUCUUUUGCUCAUCUACAUAACGUGCAGUCAGGGUUACAUAAAAAGCUAAUGUAAGACACCCCUUUUUUCAGAAGAGGUACUAUCGAUACUGUCAUAAUGAUGCAUUAGAAUGGUAUAAUUUGUGCUCUGCAAAAUGACUGAUUUCAAAUAUUUUGGGUACAUUGGUUUCAUACAGUGACUUCUGUUAAUUCUUUAUCAUUAUUCUGACUGCCUUUAAGAGCACCAACUUUUAUACAUCACAUAACUAUUCUGUGAAGGUAUAUCUAAGUAAAAAUACACCCAAAUAACAAGAGUCCUACUUGUUGCAACUGCUCUUAUUUUAACUAUUACUGUAAUGCUUAACUCAUGAAAAUCUUCACAUACAGGAAUAAAAGCUACAUAAUUAAAAUAUGCUCAUGACAUGCACCACACAAGGAAAAUUAUGUUACAAUACAUUUUCAGUAUUCUGUAUGCUGAAUCUUACCUUAUACAGAAAUAUGUCUGGCAACAUGUUUAAACACUAUACUUAUUUUCCCACUAUUUUUGAAGAUUAUGGGUUUUGAGUGCAUAUUGCAUUUUCUUCAGGCACAGAUAUGGUUGACCUCAGUUUUUAUUUUGAAAUCAAUAUGUGUGAUAGGACAAGGAAGCAUAUAAGGAAGUUGAAGUUAAAUUAAAAGCAGGUAUAAGCAUGUAUUUUAUUAUGGAGAAUCACACAAGUAAGAUAGUAAAAUCUGACUUCUCAUCACAUUGAAUUUUCUUUCACUAUUUUGUUAUAGGAAACGUAUUUUUUAUAAUGUAAAUUUUGUAGAAUCAUCCCCAGACUAAAGCUGUGGCAUCCUGCUGUAUCCCCAAAGAAUUACUUACACAAUCCCAUUGAUUGAAAUUCAAGCCACUCAUUUAAUGUUUCAACUCUACGUAGAAUUAAAAUAAGGAUCAGUUUAGACUCUAACAAUGUUUUUAUGUACUUUAGUUUCUAUUUUACUCAUUGUUAGUAGCUUAGUGAAAAUGUCUGAAGAUGCCCUGUUGAAUUUGUCUUUCUGAACAUUUGGUCAGUACCUGAAAUGAAGCACAGCCAUCUUUUGCCCUUUUAUUCACCUUAGGAAAGUUAGAUCCUUAAAUGGAUAAAGGAAUUCAGUGUCUCACAUGCACAAGCAAGGCAAUGCUCAGUGAACCUGUCUGUGUUAUUACAGCACACCAACUUCUCCAUGUCAUUCUCAUCACAGGUGAUUUGGAGAGUUCCACCAGAGAGCAAUUCAGCCCAUUUACAAUCUGAAAUAUCUUCUGACAGUGUCUGCCUCGUUCUAGUGACUAGACAGGGAGUCCAGGUGAACUAAGUUUAUCUCUUAAUGGAAUUCAAUUAAACAAUGGCAAUUACAGCUCUCCAUAGCUAUGUCAACACUUACCUUCUGGGGAGUGACCUGGGGUUUUGGUCCCCUGGUCAUUUAUAUGAGGCAUCUUUUGAGAAACACCACUGUAUCU